ensembl:lncRNA
UGGCUUUAGAGGCAGAUAGACGUAAUGGUAGUUUUCUGUAAAACAAGGAAAAUGGGAUCCAAACCGGGGACUUUCCAGCGUAUUGUCUGAAAUGUAUACUUUGUGUAAUAGCGGACCGGACUGUGUGAGGUUAAUCGGCUUUGAAGGGGAAAGCUGUGUCUACAGCUCAGUGCUGAAUUCUGCCGCCGGGAGUGACGUGGCCGCGGACUGUCAUCGAGGGUUCAUUGUUCUGGUGCAGCAGUUGGAUCGCCGAUCUUCUUUGUGGUGCAGGAGUUGGAUCGCCGACCUUCUUUGUGGUGCAGGAGUUGGAUCGCCGACUUUCUUUCUGGUGAAGGAACUGGAUCGCUGACCUUCGACAUCAAUGGUUUUUUUUUUUUGUCGUGACAGGGAGUACAGCUUCUACAGGUGACAUGGGAAUGACCAAACGUUGUGCACAACGGGAGUAAAAGAGAGUGCAGCAAAAAUCAGUUAAUUUUGGCCAAAUAAUUUGUUAUUGAAAAAAAAAUUUGGAUGUGUCUUGGAGAUAAUUAAAUAAUAAUAUUGAUAUCUCAAAAAAAAAUAAGUGAUUUGAGUCAGUGUGUCAUUUCUCUGCAUGAAAUCAUUCCUGUCCUACUGCCUAAGACUCAGAAAUUCGUCUAGGUAAAUAUAUCGGUCUUUAAACCUCGAACCAGGACAUCACUGAUGAAUUGUGGUGAUCCCAGACCGUGAGAUUUAUAUUUUUUGCAGAUUUGUUUAGACUCGGUUACAUAGCCAUUCUUGAUGUGUAUUUAAUAUAUGUUAUAUGUUUAUACAUGUAGCAGUCAAUAAUUUCAUUUGAAAGUCUUGCUAGCCCCUAUAAAUAGGAAUAAAUGAUUCCCCCUUUUGCACCGCAUGAGGUAUUGUGUAUAACACCACUUUUCAGCUGGAAAUUUAAUUGUGCAUAUGUCUCAUUGUUUCGGAUAAAUGCAGAAUUCACCCGCAUCACCACUGUUCCCCUCCUGUCCAGAUUCAUGUCCAAACUGGAUCAUUACUCGAACCAGUUGAUGAAGGUGUUUAGAAAAAAGGGUGGAGCAGCAAGACACAAAAUAAGCAUGAUCAUGGCAGCCAUGGACAAGCUCUGCUUCAGUCUCCAGCCAGUUGUUCCUACCUCAUCCCCAUUUGCCCCUGGAUUACCUCAGCCUGUUUUCCUCUCUGUAUUCAGUUCCCCAUCUAAAUCCUACUGUUGAAACAUGAAGAGAGUGUGUCCUCAAAGCACUUUGUGUGUACCUCAGUGAAAAUCCUGAAAAGUUCAUAAAGGACUAUGUGGUUGUUGAACCUGGUGCAAUGACAGCAAUGGAGGGAAAGGUCAUGGAAAUCUGUUAUCCGACACGAGGGAGCAGAGCCCACAGAGUCGCCUGAGGAUGUUGGCAUCAUAAUCGAGGGAGUUGAAGUGUUGUAAGAUCUGAGAGAUGUGGCAAGUGGGUACAGUCGUGUUUGGCGUCAUCUACAGUUUAAACCUCAGCUACCCCAAAGACCGGAGAUACAUGUUUGGAUUUUUUCAAAAAGUUUUAAUGGAUUUGGAUGGCAACAGACUUUCCAUAAAGGUGCAGAUCUUCAAGAACCGACUACAUGAGUAAUCCCAACUGCAGUACACAACUGACUGAGUCUCCGCUGGUCACGCUGCCCGGGCUCCCCUGUCACUCCUCUCCACCACCAAACUCUGAACCAGCGUUCACCCGUGGAGGAGGAGGUGUCUCAUCCCUGCCUGCCUCAGCCCGUCCCCGCUGCCCCAGCCUCUGGAUCUCCCAGCAUGCCACAACCACUCUCUGUCGCUCGCCCACCCCAGCGGGGAACUAACCUGGACCGCAGGUCUCCAGUAGCCUGUCUGCCCCACUUCCAGUCCGUAGUGAGUUCCUGAGUUUUUCCUGGCUUUAGUUUCACGUUUAUCUAGUCUUUAGUUUCAGUCACUCACUCCCCCUUAGGUCUUUUGGCAUACCUAAUUUGUAGCAAAAUAAAAUUAAUUUCUGCC